rnacentral:rRNA from 1 species
AUGAGGCCACAGGUGCUGCUCGCCGCGCUGGCCAUCGUCGUCGUCCUCGCAGCAGCUCUGCCCCUUACCAAAGGCCAAGGUGUGACGCUGUGCUGCAACAAGUGUGGCUUCUGCACUAGGUCCUUCCCGCCGCAGUGUACACGCAUGGAUGCCUCGCCGUCCGGGUGCAACCCGGCUUGCAAGACCUGCGCCAAGUCCACCGUCACUGGCCGUGAUGGCUUGCAGUGCAAGGAUCUCGUCACCAACUUCUGCAAGAACCGCUGCACUAAGGCCGCGUGA